rnacentral:rRNA from 1 species
ACUAGCAGUAAGAGUUUGAUCAUGGCUCAGAACGAACGCUGGCGGCGCGCCUAACACAUGCAAGUCGAGCGCCUCCUUCGGGGGGAGCGGCGCACGGGUGAGUAACGCGUGGGAACCUGCCCUGGGGUUCGGGACAACGGCUGGAAACGGCCGCUGACACCGGAUACGGCCAUCGCGAGGUGGCGAAAGUUCACGCCCUGGGAUGGGCCCGCGUCCGAUUAGCUAGUUGGUGGGGUAACGGCCCACCAAGGCUGCGAUCGGUAGCCGGUCUGAGAGGAUGAUCGGCCACACUGGGACUGAGACACGGCCCAGACUCCUACGGGAGGCAGCAGUGGGGAAUCUUGGACAAUGGGGGCAACCCUGAUCCAGCGACGCCGCGUGGGUGACGAAGGCCCUAGGGUUGUAAAGCUCUUUUACCCGAGAUGAUAAUGACAGUAUCGGGAGAAUAAGCUCCGGCUAACUCCGUGCCAGCCGCCGCGGUAAUUC